rnacentral:rRNA from 1 species
AUGUUUCCUAAUUUUCUGUUUCCCUCACAAACUUUGCGGCUCCUCCUCUGCUGCCCCAUCAGAUGUGAGUGCAGAUCACCGCCGCCAUCCACCGUCGGCCGCUCCUCCUCUGCUGCCCCAUGGGCGCGAGCAAACAGAGCUAACCACUCAAAGCAACCGGAGAGGCGAGCCACGGAGGAAGGGAGAGAUGGCGUCGGCAGUAGAGGAGGAGGAGGAGCAGGAGGGGCCGGCAGAAGCAGGGGACGAGGAGCAAGAAGGUCCUGGCGCAAGGCAUCCUCGAAGGACCCUGAGGGUCGGGUCUUUUCCGCCACAACGCCCGCCGAUGCCGCCGCGCUCCUCGGCGAGCUCCACAACCAGAUCCUCGCCGGCCGGGCCUCCUUCGCCGACCUCGCUGCGAAGCACUCCGACUGCUCCUCCGUCCGCCACGGCGGCGACCUAGGCCUCAAAUCAGCCCACUACACAGCCGUAGCCAGCCCCUCGGCUCGCCUUGGGCAACCGCUGUGUCGGUCCGUCGACGUUUGGGGCGGCGGAAGCCCAGGUCCAACCCUUCGGCGUCACAUACCUCUGCACGGAAGCCGCCAUGGGUGCGUGGAAGUCCAUCUCCAAGCGCAUGCCUGUGGACGUGGAGGACGUGUGCCAGGAGGUGGAAAUCAUGGCGCCGCACCUAAACGUCAUCACCCUCAACGGCGCCCACGAUGA